UACUUCCAGUCAUGCCACUUUCCU
rnacentral:miRNA from 1 species